rnacentral:rRNA from 1 species
AGUGAACGCUGGCGGUAGGCCUAACACAUGCAAGUCGAACGGCAGCACAGUAAGAGCUUGCUCUUACGGGUGGCGAGUGGCGGACGGGUGAGGAAUACAUCGGAAUCUACUUUUUCGUGGGGGAUAACGUAGGGAAACUUACGCUAAUACCGCAUACGACCUACGGGUGAAAGCAGGGGAUCUUCGGACCUUGCGCGAUUGAAUGAGCCGAUGUCGGAUUAGCUAGUUGGCGGGGUAAAGGCCCACCAAGGCGACGAUCCGUAGCUGGUCUGAGAGGAUGAUCAGCCACACUGGAACUGAGACACGGUCCAGACUCCUACGGGAGGCAGCAGUGGGGAAUAUUGGACAAUGGGCGCAAGCCUGAUCCAGCCAUACCGCGUGGGUGAAGAAGGCCUUCGGGUUGUAAAGCCCUUUUGUUGGGAAAGAAAAGAAGCAGGUUAAUACCCCGCUGUUCUGACGGUACCCAAAGAAUAAGCAACGGCUAACUUCGUG